GCCCGUUGUGCAUGCUUGUACUCCCAGCUCUGCGGAGGCUGAGGCCGGAGGAUCGCAGGAGCUCGGGCUUCGCGCCUGUGGCCCUGCGUGGAGUGAGCAUCCGUAUUGGGCGCAGCACCAACAUGGGGUCCCCCGGGGAAGCUCGGGGGCACCAGGUUGAAAAAGAGGCAGGACCCAGGCCAGGUCAGACUCGGAGCAGGUCAAACUCCCCGGUAUUGGACCGCGGUGGGACCGCGCCUGUCACUGCCGCCUGCAGCUCCGCCCGAGGCAGCUGAUGAGACGCGGCCUCCA
rnacentral:SRP_RNA from 1 species